UACGAAGGGGGCGAGCGUUGUUCGGAUUUACUGGGCGUAAAGGGCGCGCAGGCGGCUUUGUUUGUCAGGCGUGAAAGCCCCGGGCUUAACCUGGGAACUGCGCUUGAUACGGCAGGGCUAGAGUUCGGGAGAGGAGAGUGGAAUUCCCAGUGUAGAGGUGAAAUUCGUAGAUAUUGGGAAGAACACCGGUGGCGAAGGCGGCUCUCUGGACCGAGACUGACGCUGAGGCGCGAAAGCGUGGGGAGCAAACAGG
rnacentral:rRNA from 1 species